rnacentral:rRNA from 1 species
GUGGGGAAUAUUGGGCAAUGGGGGGAACCCUGAUCCAGCCAUGCCGCGUGUGUGAAGAAGGCCUUUUGGUUGUAAAGCACUUUAAGCGAGGAGGAGGCUACCGAGAUUAAUACUCUUGGAUAGUGGACGUUACUCGCAGAAUAAGCACCGGCUAACUCUGUGCCAGCAGCCGCGGUAAUACAGAGGGUGCGAGCGUUAAUCGGAUUUACUGGGCGUAAAGCGUGCGUAGGCGGCUUUUUAAGUCGGAUGUGAAAUCCCCGGGCUUAACUUGGGAAUUGCAUUCGAUACUGGGGAGCUAGAGUAUGGGAGAGGAUGGUAGAAUUCCAGGUGUAGCGGUGAAAUGCGUAGAGAUCUGGAGGAAUACCGAUGGCGAAGGCAGCCAUCUGGCCUAAUACUGACGCUGAGGUACGAAAGCAUGGGGAGCAAACAGGAUUAGAAACCCGAGUAGUCC